CCUUUUGUAUAAUGGGUCAGCGACUUAUAUUCUGUAGCAAGGUUAACCGAAUAGGGGAGCCGAAGGGAAACCGAGUCUUAACUGGGCGUUAAGUUGCAGGGUAUAGACCCGAAACCCGGUGAUCUAGCCAUGGGCAGGUUGAAGGUUGGGUAACACUAACUGGAGGACCGAACCGACUAAUGUUGAAAAAUUAGCGGAUGACUUGUGGCUGGGGGUGAAAGGCCAAUCAAACCGGGAGAUAGCUGGUUCUCCCCGAAAGCUAUUUAGGUAGCGCCUCGUGAACUCAUCUCCGGGGGUAGAGCACUGUUUCGGCAAGGGGGUCAUCCCGACUUACCAACCCGAUGCAAACUGCGAAUACCGGAGAAUGUUAUCACGGGAGACACACGGCGGGUGCUAACGUCCGUCGUGAAGAGGGAAACAACCCAGACCGCCAGCUAAGGUCCCAAAGUCAUGGUUAAGUGGGAAACGAUGUGGGAAGGCCCAGACAGCCAGGAUGUUGGCUUAGAAGCAGCCAUCAUUUAAAGAAAGCGUAAUAGCUCACUGGUCGAGUCGGCCUGCGCGGAAGAUGUAACGGGGCUAAACCAUG
rnacentral:rRNA from 1 species